rnacentral:pre_miRNA from 1 species
AGAGGUAGUGAUUCAAAAAGUUAAUUUAACAUUUUGACUUUUUGAAUUAUUAUCUUUGA